AAAUUGAAGAGUUUGAUCAUGGCUCAGAUUGAACGCUGGCGGCAGGCCUAACACAUGCAAGUCGAGCGGUAGCACAGAGAGCUUGCUCUCGGGUGACGAGCGGCGGACGGGUGAGUAAUGUCUGGGAAACUGCCUGAUGGAGGGGGAUAACUACUGGAAACGGUAGCUAAUACCGCAUAACGUCGCAAGACCAAAGUGGGGGACCUUCGGGCCUCAUGCCAUCAGAUGUGCCCAGAUGGGAUUAGCUAGUAGGUGGGGUAACGGCUCACCUAGGCGACGAUCCCUAGCUGGUCUGAGAGGAUGACCAGCCACACUGGAACUGAGACACGGUCCAGACUCCUACGGGAGGCAGCAGUGGGGAAUAUUGCACAAUGGGCGCAAGCCUGAUGCAGCCAUGCCGCGUGUGUGAAGAAGGCCUUCGGGUUGUAAAGCACUUUCAGCGGGGAGGAAGGCGGUGAGGUUAAUAACCUCAUCGAUUGACGUUACCCGCAGAAGAAGCACCGGCUAACUCCGUGCCAGCAGCCGCGGUAAUACGGAGGGUGCAAGCGUUAAUCGGAAUUACUGGGCGUAAAGCGCACGCAGGCGGUCUGUCAAGUCGGAUGUGAAAUCCCCGGGCUCAACCUGGGAACUGCAUUCGAAACUGGCAGGCUAGAGUCUUGUAGAGGGGGGUAGAAUUCCAGGUGUAGCGGUGAAAU
rnacentral:rRNA from 1 species